rnacentral:lncRNA from 1 species
GGCUUUGCAGCAGAUGGACAAGUCUAUUAUUUAGUGAAUAUGUUUGAUUAGCAGCUAAGUAAUUUCUGUCAUUUUCUUAAUACUCAGGAUGUCUGCUUUCAGUACGAUAUAUACACCCUUAAAUCAUCUUUUUAUAUAUAUAUGCCAGACUUCCUAAUUUUUGUGGUAGCCUAUUUGUUUGCAUUGUGAUCUAGUUUAUGACGGACACCCAGGAGUCCCAGCCAGGGUUGAUGACAAGAUGGGUGCUCUGAUUUACUGGAGUGUUCUGACUAUUUGCAUCCGUGUAGGCUUUCCAUGGGCAGCAGAUCCAAAACUCCAUAUGGUCCACGAAGUUUGGCUGCAUACUCCUGAGCCAAAGAAGCUGGAACUUUGAUCCGUGAUUUUAAACUAAGUGGAAACACUUUGCUGAUUGGAAGACACCAUGUUGCCUACUGGAUUUCUUAGCAUGAAACUGCAACCAAAGGUCCACAAAUAUCUCCAAGAACCUGCACUGACCCCUUAUCUCUGUGCUUUGUCCAGCCUGGAUUUUUAUUCACUCAUGGUGACAGUAACAGUAUGA